CAAGGAAUUUUCGUCAAUGGGGGCAACCCUGAACGAGCAACGCCGCGUGGAGGAUGACGGCCUUCGGGUUGUAAACUCCUUUUGCGGGGGAUGAUCAUGACCGUACCCCGCGAAUCAGGCUCGGCUAACUCUGUGCCAGCAGCCGCGGUAAGACAGAGGAGCCAAGCGUUGUCCGGAUUGACUGGGCGUAAAGCGCACGCAGGCGGUUCGGUGCGUGGGGUGUGAAAGCGGCAGGCUUAACUUGCCGAGGCCACCUCAUACGGCCGAACUCGAGCCCUGCAGAGGUCCACGGAAUUGCCGGUGUAGUGGUGAAAUGCGUAGAGAUCGGCAGGAACACCCAGGGGGAAACCAGUGGACUGGGCAGGGGCUGACGCUCAGGUGCGAAAGCGUGGGGAGCGAACCGGAUUAGAUACCCGGGUAGUCCACGCCGUAAACGAUGAAUACUCGGCAUCUGGUGGGCGAUUCUCGUCGGCCGGGUGCCCCAGCUAACGCGGUAAGUAUUCCGCCUGGGAACUACGAGCGCAAGCUUAA
rnacentral:rRNA from 1 species